rnacentral:rRNA from 1 species
GACGAACGCUGGCGGCGCGCCUAACACAUGCAAGUCGAACGAGCGAGAGAGAGCUUGCUUUCUCGAGCGAGUGGCGAACGGGUGAGUAACGCGUGAGGAACCUGCCUCAAAGAGGGGGACAACAGUUGGAAACGACUGCUAAUACCGCAUAAGCCCACGACCCGGCAUCGGGUAGGGGGAAAAGGAGCAAUCCGCUUUGAGAUGGCCUCGCGUCCGAUUAGCUAGUUGGUGAGGUAACGGCCCACCAAGGCGACGAUCGGUAGCCGGACUGAGAGGUUGAACGGCCACAUUGGGACUGAGACACGGCCCAGACUCCUACGGGAGGCAGCAGUGGGGAAUAUUGCACAAUGGGGGAAACCCUGAUGCAGCGACGCCGCGUGGAGGAAGAAGGUCUUCGGAUUGGAAACUCCUGUUGUUGAGGAAGAUAAUGACGGUACUCAACAAGGAAGUGACGGCUAACUACGUGC